rnacentral:rRNA from 1 species
GACGAACGCUGGCGGCGUGCCUAAUACAUGCCAGUUGAGCGCUGAAGGUUGGUACUUGUACCCACUGGAUGAGCAGCGAACGGGUGAGUAACGCGUGGGGAAUCUGCCUUUGAGCGGGGGACAACAUUUGGAAACGAAUGCUAAUACCGCAUAAAAACUUUAAACACAAGUUUUAAGUUUGAAAGAUGCAAUUGCAUCACUCAAAGAUGAUCCCGCGUUGUAUUAGCUAGUUGGUGAGGUAAAGGCUCACCAAGGCGAUGAUACAUAGCCGACCUGAGAGGGUGAGCGGGCAACACGGGAACGGGACAAGGGCCAAAACUCCUAGGGAGGGCGCCAGAGGGAAAUCUCGGCAAAUGGGGGAAGUCUUACCGGGGAACGCCGCGGUAGUGAAGGAGGGUUUCGGAUUGGAAAACUCUGUUGGUAGGGAAGAACGUUGGGGGGAGUGGAAUGCUCAUGUAGUGACGGUAACUACCCAGAAAGCCACGGCUAACUACGUG